rnacentral:rRNA from 1 species
GAGUUUGAUCGUGGCUCAGGAUGAACGCUGGCGGCGUGCCUAAUACAUGCGAGUCGAGCGAACAGACGAGGAGCUUGCUCCUCUGACGUUAGCGGCGGACGGGUGAGUAACACGUGGAUAACCUACCUAUAAGACUGGGAUAACUUCGGGAAACCGGAGCUAAUACCGAAUGAUAUAUUGAACCGCAUGGUUCAAUAGUGAAAAACGGUUUUGCUGUCACUUAUAGAUGGAUCCGCGCCGCAUUAGCUAGUUGGUAGGGUAACGGCUUACCAAGGCGACGAUGCGUAGCCGACCUGAGAGGGUGAUCGGCCACACUGGAACUGAGACACGGUCCAGACUCCUACGGGAGGCAGCAGUAGGGAAUCUUCCGCAAUGGGCGAAAGCCUGACGGAGCAACGCCGCGUGAGUGAUGAAGGUCUUCGGAUCGUAAAACUCUGUUAUUAGGAAGAACAAAUGUGUAAGUAACUAUGCACGUCUUGACGGUA